rnacentral:lncRNA from 1 species
AUCUCUUCUCAUCUCAACCUUUUCUAAUUGAAAUCGACCGUUCCAAACGCAAGUGCCCAAAAGUUUGAUAGUUGGUAUCUGAGGUCUCAAAUUCAAAAUCUUGUUGCUUUAUAUUUUCAGCUAAAUUUAUUUCUAAAAAAAAUAAAUGAAACAGAUAAUAUACUAUCUUUCUCUUAAAAUAAAUAAGUAUCCUUGAAUAUCAAAGAUGCCCUUAAUAUUCUGUAAAAUUACACCGGAAGAGUUAUCCGUUUCAUGAUGUUAUUGAUU